AUGGUUCUCAUUGGCAUGUCAAGCUCAAGCACUCCCAUGUCAAGCUCCAGCGCCCCCCUUGUUUCUCUUGAGGAGCAGCCACCACUUCCACUCAUGGUUUGCCCUUUCUGCAACAAUGGCAUGGUUCAGUGGUGGGUCUCUCGCACGACAAACAAUCCAGGCAAGCACUUUUACAAGUGCGAGCACGAGUGGACUCGUAAAUGCAACUUUUGGAAAUGGGAGGAGAACUACAUCAACGUCAUACGUGCCAAGUGGCCCAGGCUGUUCACUGUUGCAUCCCGCGAAGACAGGGAAUUCCACCGCAUCAUCAUCGCCCUCCUCCUAGUCAAUCUGCUUGCUCUUUUCUUCGUAUGCUGCAAGGUGGCUUGA
rnacentral:rRNA from 1 species